CCUACGGGUGGCUGCAGUCGAGAAUCAUUCACAAUGGGGGAAACCCUGAUGGUGCGACGCCGCGUGGGGGAAUGAAGGUCUUCGGAUUGUAGACCCCUGUCAUGUGGGGGCAAAUUAAAAAGAUAGUACCACAAGAGGAAGAGACGCCUAACUCUGUGCCAGCACCCGCGGUAAUACAGAGGUCUCAAGCGUUGUUCGGAAUCACUGGGCGUAAGGCGUGCGUAGGCUGUUUCGUAAGUCGUGUGUGAAAGGCGCGGGCUCAACCCGCGGACGGCACAUGAUACUGCGAGACUAGAGUAAUGGAGGGGGAACCGGAAUUCUCGGUGUAGCAGUGAAAUGCGUAGAUAUCGAGAGGAACACUCGUGGCGAAGGCGGGUUCCUGGACAUUAACUGACGCUGAGGCACGAAGGCCAGGGGAGCGAAAGGGAUUAGAUACCCUGGUAGUC
rnacentral:rRNA from 1 species